GAUGAACGCUGGCGGCGUGCUUAACACAUGCAAGUCGAACGAAGCAUUUACACGGAAUCCCUCGGGAGGAAGUGUGAAUGACUGAGUGGCGGACGGGUGAGUAACGCGUGGGCAACCUGCCCCGUACCGGGGGAUAACAGCCGGAAACGGCUGCUAAUACCGCAUAUGCUUUGCGGGCCGCAUGGCCCGCAAAGCAAAACUCCGGUGGUACGGGAUGGGCCCGCGUCUGAUUAGCUGGUUGGCGGGGUAACGGCCCACCAAGGCGACGAUCAGUAGCCGGCCUGAGAGGGCGGCCGGCCACAUUGGGACUGAGACACGGCCCAG
rnacentral:rRNA from 1 species